CGACCGGCGCACGGGUGAGUAACACGUAUCCAACCUGCCGUCUACUCUUGGACAGCCUUCUGAAAGGAAGAUUAAUACAAGAUGGCAUCAUGAGUCCGCAUGUUCACAUGAUUAAAGGUAUUCCGGUAGACGAUGGGGAUGCGUUCCAUUGGAUAGUAGGCGGGGUAACGGCCCACCUAGUCUUCGAUGGGUAGGGGGUUCUGAGAGGAAGGUCCCCCACAUUGGAACUGAGACACGGUCCAAACUCCUACGGGAGGCAGCAUG
rnacentral:rRNA from 1 species